rnacentral:misc_RNA from 1 species
CUUUGUGCAGCGGUCUUUUUUUUUAAAUAAAUGGUCAGCCAUCUUGAGAAACGUCAGUCGAUGUGUAUGCCGAGAAUAAAUCGUUGUGCAUCGGGAAGUGCGCCUGCUGAAAGGACAGUGAAUGCUGCCCGUUUGAGUCUACGGUACAUGCGCUUCAAUACCGGCCUUCUACCAUAGUUGCGGCGCACUGGAGGAGUCCACAAUGUCCACAGUAGCAGAAAACUCCGGGAACCAUUCCCCUGAGAAGGCUGUAAACCACACCAACAACAUUAGGGAUGUCGAUGAAGGUGGCUGGAAAUCGAAGCUUGUCAUACCUCCCCGUGAUCUAAGGAAGAGAACAUCUGAUGUCACAGACACCAAGGGCAACGAAUUUGAAGACUUCUGCCUAAAGCGGGAGCUGCUUAUGGGUAUCUUUGAGAAGGGCUGGGAAAAGCCCUCUCCCAUCCAGGAAGCCAGCAUCCCCAUUGCACUCCUAGGGCGCGACAUCCUGGCUCGGGCCAAGAACGGCACUGGCAAGACGGGUGCAUACAUCAUCCCCAUGCUCCAGCGGAUAGACGUCACAAAGGAUCACAUCCAAGCUAUGGCCAUCGUCCCCACUCGCGAGUUGGCCCUCCAAACCAGUCAAAUCUGCAUCGAGCUGUCUAAGCACCUGAAGGCCCGAGUCAUGGUUACAACUGGUGGCACCAACCUGAAGGAUGACAUCAUGCGCAUCUAUGAAAACGUUCACGUGAUCAUUGCGACACCUGGCCGCAUUUUGGAUCUCAUGGAAAAAAGAGUAGCGCAGAUGGACAAGUGCAACAUGCUCAUUUUGGAUGAGGCAGACAAGCUUCUCUCCCAGGACUUCAAGGGCUUGCUGGACAAGGUCAUCAGCUACCUGCCCCCUGACAGGCAGAUUCUUCUCUACUCUGCCACGUUCCCACUUACGGUGGAGCAGUUUAUGAAGAAGCACUUGCACAGCCCGUACGAGAUUAACCUGAUGGAUGAGCUGACCCUGAAAGGUGUGACGCAGUACUACGCUUUCGUUCAGGAAAGGCAGAAGGUUCACUGCCUCAACACUCUCUUCUCUAAGCUGCAAAUCAACCAGUCAAUCAUCUUCUGCAACUCCACUCAGCGGGUGGAGCUUUUGGCCAAGAAGAUAACGGAGCUUGGCUACUCGUGCUACUACAUCCAUGCCAAGAUGUCCCAGCAACAUCGUAACCGUGUGUUCCACGACUUCCGCGCUGGCCUCUGCAGGAACCUUGUCUGCUCUGACCUCUUCACGAGAGGUAUAGACAUCCAGGCUGUGAAUGUGGUGAUCAACUUCGACUUCCCAAAGAUGGCAGAGACAUAUCUGCACCGCAUCGGCAGAUCCGGGCGCUUCGGCCACCUUGGCAUCGCCAUCAACCUGAUCACCUAUGAUGACCGCUUCUCACUGCACCGCAUAGAGCAGGAACUGGGGACGGAAAUCAAGCCUAUUCCCAAGGUCAUUGACAAGAACCUCUACGUGCCAGAGCUGCAGCUAGAAGAUGCAGAAGCAAAUGCCAGCAAAUAGGAGCCAAUCAUCAUGUAUUUUUUCAUUAGCAUAACUCAUGAUUUUGUACGUCACUUCCAGAAGAUUCUGUUGUAUACUGUACAGAAGGGAAAAUGUGCAUGGAUGUGCCUGUGUGUGUGCGUGUGUGGUUGUGUCCUGCAAGAAAAACUAAAAAAAAACGUGGACUACUGCAAAUGAAGUUUGUGGGAUGCCUGAAGUGAACAAGUAUUUAUUUCUCCUGGAAGUGUCGCCUCAUGCCAUAACUUAUACUUUUUUGUCGUGCGAGAGUUGCUGGGAAGCUGAUUCAGCCUGUAAAUGUGAAGACAGUGGGAACUUAUCUUUAGGAACAAGUUCUUCUUUUUCUUUUUUUCCAAUUAUGUAAAUUAAUAUCUGCAAGAACAAGUUUUUUUUUUUUUCACCUGCCAUGUGGUGCUGCUUUGCCCGUGACAUUGUACAGGACAAUAUUGUGGCUCGUGAGCGCAUUACAAUGGCAUGAUUACCGCCACACUGAAGAGACGGUUGCCACUCCUCUUCACUUAUUAAUUGGAUGCUGGCCAGAACUGACCUUGCUACAGUUGAGACUGCCUCUGUCCCCUCCCGCUUCUGCUCCAAUGUGGCAAGACCCAAGAUGGGGACAGUGUGUGCAACAAGUCCUCGUUCUGCUUCGUGAUGUGCAGUGCGUGUUCUGGACUCUGGACUUUUAUACACCUGUGUGGACAUUAUUUCAAGUGAAAGAAUAAGGCAGGGCCCACGCACUCUUGAUGAGCGGACUGAGGUUUUUGUGAAUGGCCAUGCAUUUAGCCUGACAUGUUUUAAGUUUCGGUUAUUAACAAGUGCUAGACUCGCUAUCAGUUAAAGGCAAGAACUUUAGUUUUCCCCAAAGAAUUGGCACCUGUUGGCAGCAAAAAUUCCUUGCUCUAAUGACAAAAUUUUGGUGUGCUGUGAUCGGUAGUGCACUUCGGACUAUACUGACAUAUUAAUAUAACAGAGCUAUCUGGAAUAGCAAGAACUUGUCGGACAUACUUUUUGCAUUGGUGUACUUGCCAGCUUUUUUUUUCCCUUCAGAUGUUUUCACUUCCAUUCGUGUUGGCUCUGUAGAGGUGCCUUGCAUGAAGCAUGUUUCGACAGCCCACAAAUUGUAAAUGUUUGAAGCUCUCAAAUGCGUCUCAAGACCACUGGUUUGUUUCGAGCUGACAAAAAAAGCCACCCCCGUCAAAGCAUGCGCAGCCAGGCAGGCAAACGGGCUCGAUUAUUGUUUUGCAGACAACUCGGAUGUGUCGUACCGUUGCAGCUGCAGGGCCCCCCCUUUAGGCCUUGUACAAAGUGUAUAUUUGUAUUAUAUGUUCUCAACCAGUGUCGCCUUGUCUGUCGGAACAAGAUUUUUUGGACUAGACACUUCGGGCAGACGAGGUCUGCCGGCCCAGACACGCAUGCAACCACGUUGCUCACACACACACAAAUGCUGUGUGGCUCUCCUACUGCGCACAGUCGCUAAGAUGCCCUCCUGUAUGCUUGCUGCUGUGAUGGUGGCCAUCAAGAGUUGACCUGCCUGUUUGCGACUGCUUUGACACUUCCAAUCACUGCCCCCAUCCAUAUCCCCCUUCCCUCAGUUUUUGUUUGUGCAGGUGUAAAACAUCUUUGCCUGCCACCCCCCUCUUCCCUUCCAUGUCACUUUUCCUUACUAUGCUCGUGCUUCCUUGCACAAUUUCUUUGACCUUUCCCUACUUUUCCUCUUACAAGCUCGCCAUAGGCGUGCUUGCAAAGUGCCGUAGCCUGCAGGAAGUGUGGACGCUGGGUGCUGUGCAGGUUUUGGAGGAACCCCCCCACGACUGAUCGGCAUAGUCGCACAGCGUCAUUUAAUUGCAGCAAGUGACCAGAAACUUCCUCCAUUGCUUUGCCCACCGCCCGGAACCUGUGGGUGCCCAAAUUUCCUCGAACCUCGGGUCAUUUGGCCUCCCGGGGUCGCCCACUGCCAAGCUCCACGCUUCCUUGCUGGGCACACUUGUACGAGAUUCGGAACACUAGGCCAAAACAAAUUUUUCAGAUUUUUUUUCUUGUGCCAAGUGGAGGGAUUUGUUUGAUUGUCGUUCGGUGAUAAUCGAAAUUGGCCAAUGCUUUGUUUUUCCGUCGAUGAUACGUUUUGAUAACAGUUCUGGUAAUUAAUUUUCCUAGCGGCAGUUUUUCUUCGUCCCUCUUACUCGAGGUUUAUAUAUGCAAUACGGCUGUAAGAUGUGCGAUUGGCCUGAUUCGUUUAUUGGCUCAAGUGAAGACCAUAUCCAUUAAGAAUAUGUGAUCAGAAUAACACGUGACCUGCCAAAAUAAAAAUUUAUAUCUUUUAUAAA